GAUCACCACUUCAUAUUAUAGUACCUGUAAAUCAGAAAUUUUGAAUACACCAGAGAGAGUUUAAUUAAUUUUGGUCUUGUGGACAACAAGUGGCUUUCAGGUAGUGUUGGGUUAAAAUCUGCAGCAGGGGUGUAAAUUUAAUUUUUUAUCGGGUGUAUUUAUAGUCUGUGUUUGGGUGUAUUAUGCAGAUCUCUAUGCAGACCGUCAUAUAUGGGUUCCAAUC